rnacentral:rRNA from 1 species
UACGGAGGAGCUAGCGUUGUUCGGAAUUACUGGGGCGUAAAGCGCACGUAGGCGGCUUUUUAAGUCAGAGGUGAAAUCCCCGGGGCUCAACCCCCGGAACUGCCGUUUGAAACUGGAAAGCUAGAAUCUUGGAGAGGCGAGGUGGAAUUCCGAGUGUAGAGGUGAAAUUCGUAGAUAUUCGGGAAGAACACAGUGGCGAAGGCGACUCGCUGGACAAGUAUUGACGCUGAGGUGCGAAAGCGUGGGGAGCAAACAGGAUUAGAUACCCGGGUAGUU